UGCCAGCCGCCGCGGUAAUACGGAGGGUGCAAGCGUUAUUCGGAAUGACUGGGCGUAAAGCGCGCGUAGGCGGCUAGCUAAGUCUGAUGUGAAAGCCCCGGACUCAAUCUGGGAAGUGCAUUGGAUACUGGUUGGCUAGAGUAUAGGAGAGGAGAGCGGAAUUCCAGGUGUAGAGGUGAAAUUCGUAGAUAUCUGGAGGAACAACGGAGGCGAAGGCGGCUCUCUGGACUACAACUGACGCUGAGGUGCGAAAGUGUGGGUAGCAAACAGGAUUAGAUA
rnacentral:rRNA from 1 species